rnacentral:sRNA from 1 species
ACUCGUUCCCAAGCUGCCUUCUCUUGAAU